rnacentral:rRNA from 1 species
AGCGAACGCUGGCGGCAGGCUUAACACAUGCAAGUCGAGCGGGCACUUCGGUGUCAGCGGCAGACGGGUGAGUAACACGUGGGAACGUACCAUUUGGUUCGGAAUAACGCUGGGAAACUAGCGCUAAUACCGGAUACGCCCUUUUGGGGAAAGGCUUGCUGCCGAAGGAUCGGCCCGCGUCUGAUUAGCUAGUUGGUGGGGUAAUGGCCUACCAAGGCGACGAUCAGUAGCUGGUCUGAGAGGAUGAUCAGCCACACUGGGACUGAGACACGACCCAGACUCCUGCGGGAGGCAGCAGUGGGGAAUAUUGGACAAUGGGCGCAAGCCUGAUCCAGCCAUGCCGCGUGAGUGAUGAAGGCCUUAGGGUUGUAAAGCUCUUUUGUCCGGGACGAUAAUGACGGUACCGGAAGAAUAAGCCCCGGCUAACUUCGUG